GAUUUCUGGUGUGGUGCGCCGAGCCCGCAUCCGUUUAGGUUGUGAGUGCUUGCUGCGCGCCUACCAUCCUUCCGGAGAGGCCGAUCUGCCCUUAACUGGAACGGGUCGCGUCGAUCUGGAUCGUUUACUUUGAAAAAAUUAGAGUGUUUAAAGCAGGCUUGCGCUAUGAAUACAUUAGCAUGGAAUAAUAAUUUAGGACUUUGGUCUUAUUUUGUUGGUUUCUAGGACUAAAGUAAUGAUUGAUAGGGACAGUUGGGGGUGCUAGUAUUCAGCGGCCAGAGGUGAAAUUCUUGGAUUCGCUGAAGACUAACUUAUGCGAAAGCAUU
rnacentral:rRNA from 1 species